UACAGAGGUCUCAAGCGUUGUUCGGAUUCAUUGGGCGUAAAGGGUGCGUAGGCGGCGCGGUAAGUCGGGUGUGAAAUCUCGGGGCUUAACUCCGAAACUGCAUUCGAUACUGCCGUGCUUGAGGACUGGAGAGGAGACUGGAAUUUACGGUGUAGCGGUGAAAUGCGUAGAUAUCGUAAGGAAGACCAGUGGCGAAGGCGGGUCUCUGGCAAGUUCCUGACGCUGAGGCACGAAGGUCAGGGGAG
rnacentral:rRNA from 1 species